UGGACCAGUGAUGAAAACAUAUCAUGAAUUGUGGCCUAUGAUUAACUCAACUGUCUGUAACUGAGUUCCAA
ensembl:snoRNA